AUUGAACGCUGGCGGCAGGCCUAACACAUGCAAGUCGAGCGAGCGGCGCACGCGUGAGUAAUGUCUGGGAAACUGCCUGAUUGAGGGGGAUAACUACUGGAAACGGUAGCUAAUACCGCAUCCCAUCAGCUGUGCCCAGAUGGGUUUAGCUAGUAGGUGGGGUAACGGCUCACCUAGGCGACGAUCCCUAGCUGGUCUGAGAGGAUGACCAGCCACACUGGAGCUGAGACACGGUCCAGACUCCUACGGGAGGCAGCAGUGGGGAAUAUUGCACAAUGGGCGCAAUCCUGAUGCAGCCAUGCCGCGUGUGUGAAGAAGGCCUUCGGGUUGUAAAGCACUUUCAGCGGGGAGGCGUUACCCGAAGAAGAAGCACCGGCUAACUCCGUGCCAGCAGCCGCGGUAAUUG
rnacentral:rRNA from 1 species